UACGGAGGGGGUUAGCGUUGUUCGGAAUGACUGGGCGUAAAGCGCGCGUAGGCGGAUCAGGAAGUUGGGGGUGAAAUCCCGGGGCUCAACCCCGGAAUGGCCUUCAAAACUCCUGGUCUUGAGUUCGAGAGAGGUGAGUGGAAUUCCGAGUGUAGAGGUGAAAUUCGUAGAUAUUCGGAGGAACACCAGUGGCGAAGGCGGCUCACUGGCUCGACACUGACGCUGAGGUGCGAAAGCGUGGGGAGCAAACGGG
rnacentral:rRNA from 1 species